rnacentral:rRNA from 1 species
UGCAUGUCUAAGUAUAGCAAUUAUACCGUGAAACUGCGAAUGGCUCAUUAAAUCAGUUAUCGUUUAUUUGAUAGUACCUUACUACUUGGAUACCCGUGGUAAUUCUAGAGCUAAUACAUGCUAAAAACCCCGACUUCGGGAGGGGUGUGUUUAUUAGAUAAAAAACCAACGCCCUUCGGGGCUCCUUGGUGAUUCAUGAUAACCUCUCAGAUCGCACGGCCUUGCGCCGGCGACGGUUCAUUCAAAUUUCUGCCCUAUCAACUUUCGAUGGUAAGGUAUUGGCUUACCAUGGUUUCAACGGGUAACGGGGAAUUAGGGUUCGAUUCCGGAGAGUGAGCCUGAGAAACGGCUCACACAUCCAAGGAAGGCAGCAGGCGCGCAAAUUACCCAAUCCCGACACGGGGAGGUAGUGACAAUAAAUACUGAUACAGGGCUCUUUUGGGUCUUGUAAUUGGAAUGAGUACAAUUUAAACCUCUUAACGAGGAACAAUUGGAGGGCAAGUCUGGUGCCAGCAGCCGCGGUAAUUCCAGCUCCAAUAGCGUAUAUUAAAGUUGUUGCAGUUAAAAAGCUCGUAGUUGAAUCUUUGGCCUGGCUGGCGGGUCCGCCUCACCGCGUGCACUUGUCCGGCCGGGCCUUCUCUUCUGGAGAACCGCAUGCCCUUCACUGGGCGUGUUGGGGACCAGGACUUUUACUUUGAAAAAAUUAGAGUGUUCAAAGCAGGCCUUUGCUCGAAUACGUUAGCAUGGAAUAAUAGAAUAGGACGUGCGGUCCUAUUUUGUUGGUUUCUAGGACCGCCGUAAUGAUUAAUAGGGACAGUCGGGGGCAUCAGUAUUCAAUUGUCAGAGGUGAAAUUCUUGGAUUUAUUGAAGACUAACUACUGCGAAAGCAUUUGCCAAGGAUGUUUUCAUUAAUCAGUGAACGAAAGUUAGGGGAUCGAAGACGAUCAGAUACCGUCGUAGUCUUAACCAUAAACUAUGCCGACUAGGGAUCGGGCGGUGUUAUCGAUUUGACCCGCUCGGCACCUUGCGAGAAAUCAAAGUGUUUGGGUUCUGGGGGGAGUAUGGUC